rnacentral:sRNA from 1 species
CACAGCCAUCCUUCCCACCGCCAGGCCCAGGAGGUUGGGGGAGACUAACCUGGCAAGGAGCCCCCAAUGAGCCACCUCUCCUCACCCCCCAAAAAACAUAAGGGGGAGCGCAAAGGCCACAGUCUCCCCCAUGGUUCAGAAAGGGGUAGCUCCUCCCGGGACAAGGACCGAAGUGCGACGGUCAGUAGUUCAGUGCCCAUGCCUGCUGGAGGGAAGGGAAGCCAUCCUUCAUCUACACCCCAGAGGGUCCCCAACCGCCUGAUCCACGAGAAGUCACCAUACCUCCUACAACAUGCCUACAAUCCUGUGGACUGGUACCCCUGGGGACAGGAAGCCUUCGACAAGGCCAGGAAGGAAAACAAGCCGAUUUUCCUCUCAGUCGGGUACUCCACCUGCCACUGGUGCCACAUGAUGGAAGAGGAGUCCUUCCAGAAUGAGGAGAUCGGCCGCCUGCUCAGUGAGGACUUUGUGAGUGUGAAGGUAGACCGUGAGGAGCGGCCUGACGUGGACAAGGUGUACAUGAUGUUCGUGCAGGUGAGCAGCCCUCCUCGGGAGUGUAUGCGCCACAUGGGCUCAGAGCAGCUCCCCUCACCCUCGCCCUCUCUCCGCCAGGCCACCAGCAGCGGCGGGGGCUGGCCCAUGAAUGUGUGGCUGACUCCCAACCUCCAGCCCUUUGUCGGGGGCACCUAUUUCCCUCCUGAGGAUGGCUUGACCCGAGUCGGCUUCCGCACAGUGUUGCUGAGAAUACGAGAACAGUGGAAACAGAACAAGAACACCCUGCUAGAAAAUAGCCAGCGUGUCACCACUGCCCUGCUGGCCCGAUCAGAGAUCAGCGUGGGUGACCGCCAGCUGCCGCCCUCUGCCGCCACCGUGAACAAUCGCUGCUUCCAGCAGCUGGACGAGGGCUAUGAUGAGGAAUACGGUGGCUUCGCUGAGGCCCCCAAGUUUCCCACGCCGGUGAUCCUGAGCUUCCUGUUCUCCUACUGGCUCAGCCAUCGACUGACUCAGGAUGGCUCUCGGGCCCAGCAGAUGGCCUUGCAUACCCUGAAAAUGAUGGCUAACGGGGGCAUCCGGGACCAUGUGGGGCAGGUGACGGGCACUGGGUGUUCCCUGGAGGGGCAGCAGGGGGCUGUGGGGUGGGGCAGAAGCUGGGACUGGCCUCCAGCUUUGUAUCCGCACAGGGCUUUCACCGCUACUCCACAGACCGCCAGUGGCACGUCCCUCACUUUGAGAAGAUGCUCUAUGACCAGGCACAGCUCGCUGUGGCCUAUUCGCAGGCCUUCCAGCUCUCUGGUGAUGAAUUCUACUCUGACGUGGCCAAAGGCAUCCUGCAGUAUGUGGCUCGGAGCCUGAGCCACCGGUCCGGAGGCUUCUAUAGCGCAGAGGAUGCAGACUCGCCCCCAGAGCGGGGCCUGCGGCCCAAAGAGGGCGCCUACUAUGUGUGGACGGUCAAAGA